AUUGAACGCUGGCGGCAGGCCUAACACAUGCAAGUCGAGCGGAUGAAGGGAGCUUGCUCCCUGAUUCAGCGGCGGACGGGUGAGUAAUGCCUAGGAAUCUGCCUGGUAGUGGGGGACAACGUUUCGAAAGGAACGCUAAUACCGCAUACGUCCUACGGGAGAAAGCAGGGGACCUUAGGGCCUUGCGCUAUCAGAUGAGCCUAGGUCGGAUUAGCUAGUUGGUGAGGUAAUGGCUCACCAAGGCUGCGAUCCGUAACUGGUCUGAGAGGAUGAUCAGUCACACUGGAACUGAGACACGGUCCAGACUCCUACGGGAGGCAGCAGUGGGGAAUAUUGGACAAUGGGCGAAAGCCUGAUCCAGCCAUGCCGCGUGUGUGAAGAAGGUCUUCGGAUUGUAAAGCACUUUAAGUUG
rnacentral:rRNA from 2 species